rnacentral:rRNA from 1 species
GAUCCUGGCUCAGGACGAACGCUGGCGGCGCGCCUAACACAUGCAAGUCGAACGAGAAACGAGGAGCUUGCUCUUCAAAUCGAGUGGCGAACGGGUGAGUAACGCGUGAGGAACCUGCCUCAAAGAGGGGGACAACAGUUGGAAACGACUGCUAAUACCGCAUAAGCCCACAGCUCGGCAUCGAGCAGAGGGAAAAGGAGUGAUCCGCUUUGAGAUGGCCUCGCGUCCGAUUAG